rnacentral:lncRNA from 1 species
CCGCCUGCAGUUAGUGGUAAUGGAACUAUUUCAUGAGAAGCAACAUAAAACCGUUACCGUUGUACAUAUGAUCUUAGCAGAGUUGUACCGAGCCCCGAGUGAGGUUAGGGGAGGUGUCAGGUAUUUUGAGGGAAGUAAUCUUUUGCUACAAUUGUGGAUGAUGGAGCAUUUGCACACUGCUUUCUUUCUUUGUCCCAUCGACCGUGCCUUGAGGCAUCGGGUGGUAUGCAUCGAGCGUAGGAUAAAAUCUCCUAUGUUUACGUACCCAGUAGGUGUCACAACUUGGAUUGAGUUCUUUGGUUUGAGGACAAAUGGGAAUGUUUUGUGGGCCUACCUUUGGCUACCCUUAGAUGAGAUCUUGGUAGGAUGUCUCAUGCAACCUUUCUUGAUACUGAUAGGACUCAAGUGUGUCAGGCCAUACACUCCCAUUAGGGUAAUGCGGCAGUUGGGCAGAAGACAAGACGAACCUCCAACUUUGAAUCUUAGGAGGCAUGUCAUGAACUUUAGCAACAAAGCAACUGACGAAAUCAAAUAUGUGCAAAGUUGGGCAGAAGACAAGAGGGACCUCCAACUUUGAAUCUUCGGAGGCAUGUCAUGAACUUUAGAAAGAAAGCAACUGACGAAAUCAAAUAUGUGCAAUACUGGAAGAAUGCAAAGAGGUUGAGGAACAGUACAUAGAUAAAGGACAUUGGUAGACCCGAGUGUACUCAGGAGUACCUGAUCUGG